rnacentral:rRNA from 1 species
GACGAACGCUGGCGGCGUGCCUAACACAUGCAAGUCGAACGCUCAGGCUUGGUGCUUGCUCUUGUUGGAUUAGUGGCGAACGGGUGAGUAACACGUGAGUAACCUGCCCUUGACUCUGGGAUAAGCUUGGGAAACUGGGUCUAAUACUGGAUAAUAUAUGCCACCGCAUGGUGCUGUGUGGAAAGGCUUUUGCUGUUUUUGUUUUGGAUCAAGCCCCAUCGGCUUGUUGAUGGGGUAAUGUCCUACCAAGGCGACGCGGGGUAGCAGACCUGAGAGGGGGACCGGACACGCUGGGACUGAGACGCGGCACAGACUCGAACGGGAGGCAGCAGUGGAGAAGAGUACACAAGGGGAGGGAGCCAGAUGCAGCGACGCAGCGUGGGGGAAGAGGGGCUUCGGGUUGUAAACCUAUUUCAGCACGGAAGAAGAGAGAGUGACGGUACGUGCAGAAGAAGCGCCGGCUAACUACGUG